rnacentral:tRNA from 1 species
AGCGAGAUAAGCUAACCACCUAAGCUGUUGGGCUCAUAACCCAAAAAUAGAUAUAUUCUUCCCGCUA